rnacentral:rRNA from 1 species
AGUGAACGCUGGCGGCGUGCUUAACACAUGCAAGUCGAACGAGAACGGAUUAUAGCUUGCUAUAAUUGUCAGCUAAGUGGCGCACGGGUGAGUAAUGUAUAGGUAAUAUGCCUCUUACUAAGGGAUAACAAAUGGAAACGUUUGCUAAUACCUUAUACUCCUUAUUAACGGAAGUUAAUAAGGGAAAGAUUUAUUGGUAAGAGAUUAGCCUGUAUUGUAUCAGUUAGUUGGUGGGGUAAUGGCUUACCAAGACUAUGACACAUAACUGGUUUGAGAGGAUGAUCAGUCACACUGGAACUGAGACACGGUCCAGACUCCUACGGGAGGCAGCAGUGGGGAAUAUUGCACAAUGGACGAAAGUCUGAUGCAGAACGCCGCGUGGAGGAUGACACAUUUCGGUGCGUAAACUCCUUUUAUAUGAGAAGAUAAUGACGGUAUUAUAUGAAUAAGCACCGGCUAACUCCGUGCCAGCCGCCGCCGUAAGAC